rnacentral:lncRNA from 1 species
UUCCCUUUUCACGAAUGUGACCUACCGAAUUAAGGCUUUUUCCCGGAUUUAUAAUAAAAUAAGUAACACUUAUGUGAAGCAGGAUCUACUUACUCUUCCGGAGCACCUGAGAUUACCCCCAGUUUUUGGUGGGGUUUGUGUUUGCUUAGUCUUUAAUUUUCUAUGUUGUGUCUUGUGUCCUAUUAUUUGUCUGUUUGUCUUUUUUUGUUUUUCAGCCCUGGUGUUGUCAGUUUAUUUUCGAUUUAUGAGUUUGACUGUCCCUCUGGUAUCUUUCGUCCCCCUUUUAAUUUAUCAAAAAAUAAUGAUGCCAAGUUAAAAUAUAUUGUUUAUGCAACCAGUUUUAGCUAGAGUCUGAAAGUAUCUUGCUUUUAGACACAUUCAUGAAAGACUCACAAUAAACAUUGUUUUUUUUUUUUAAAAUAAAUUAGAAAUUUUAAGAUUGGUUGUUGGUGUUUUAACUCCCCUUUGAACAUCACAUAUGGGCU